AUGGCGGACGCUGACAGCAGCAGCAACCCACUGCUCGCCGACAUCGACUUCCCGCCCUUCGACCGCGUCGAGCCCGGACACGUCCGCCCCGGGAUCCCCGUUCCUCGUCCGCACAUCCGCGCGCUCCUCGCCCGCCUUAGGCAGACCAGCUUUCGCCUGGGCAUGCUGGAGAAGCUCAAGAGCUUCCGGGGGAUGGAUAACUUCAGGCGGAGCAAGGACAGCCCUGGCAAGCGCGGUGACACGCCGCUCCACCUCGCGGCGAGGGCCAGCAACGUCUCCAACGUCCAGAGGAUCCUUGCCGAAUCCGGCCAGGAGAUGGCCGAGCUGGAGGAGGGCGAGCUGGAGGAGCUUGAGAAGGGCGUGGAGCCUGCGUGGGAGCACUUGGUCCACCCGCUCGAGCGCAUCGUCGAUAGGCUGAACGUUAUUGAAGGAGUUCAUUCUGUGCAUCCGGAGGCGUACGAGUUCAAGAUCGGUGACCAGUUUUUUCGGAGGCCCGGAGACCCACCCCUGGACCAAGUUAUCGAGAUGCUA
rnacentral:rRNA from 1 species